GAUGAACGCUGGCGGCGUGCUUAACACAUGCAAGUCGAACGGUGAACGAGGGAGCUUGCUCCCUCCGGAUCAGUGGCGAACGGGUGAGUAACACGUGAGCAAUCUGCCCUGGACUCUGGGAUAAGCGUUGGAAACGACGUCUAAUACCGGAUACGAGGAGUGGGGGCAUCCCCAACGCCUGGAAAGAACUUCGGUCCAGGAUGAGCUCGCGGCCUAUCGGCUUGUUGGUGGGGUAACGGCCCACCAAGGCGACGACGGGUAGCCGGCCUGAGAGGGCGACCGGCCAGACUGGGACUGAGACACGGCCCAGACUCCUACGGGAGGCAGCAGUGGGGAAUAUUGCGCAAUGGGCGAAAGCCUGACGCCGCGACGCAGCGUGAGGGACGAAGGCCUUCGGGUUGUAAACCUCUUUCAGCGGGGACGAAGCGAAAGUGACGGUACCCGCAGAAGAAGCACCGGCUAACUACGUGCCAGCAGCCGCUGUAACAC
rnacentral:rRNA from 1 species